rnacentral:rRNA from 1 species
CACCGCGGUUAGACGAGAGGCCCCAGUUGAUAGUAUCACGGCGUAAGGGUGGUCAAGGGCUUAAACUUAAUAAAGCUAAAUGGCCCCUCGGCCGUCAUACGCUUCUAGGUGCUAGAGACCCGAUAUACGAAAGUAGCUUUAAUAACCCCCGCCUGACUCCACGAAAGCUGAGGAACAAACUGGGAUUAGAUACCCCACUAUGCUCAGCCAUAAACCCAGACAUUUAAAUACAACUAACUGUCCGCCAGGGUACUACGAGCAUUAGCUUAAAACCCAAAGGACCUGACGGUGCCUCAGACCCCCCUAGAGGAGCCUGUUCUAGAACCGAUAACCCUCGUUAAACCUCACCACUUCUGGCCGUCCCAGCCUAUAUACCGCCGUCGCCAGCUUACCCUGUGAAGGAUAUAAAAGUAAGCAAAAUGGACAAACCCCAGAACGUCAGGUCGAGGUGUAGCGCAUGAAGUGGGAAGAAAUGGGCUACAUUUUCUUAUGAAGAACACUACGAAUGUGCAACAUGAAAAAGUGCCUGAAGGAGGAUUUAGUAGUAAAAAGGAACAAGAGUGUCCUUUUGAACCCGGCUCUGAGACGCGUACACACCGCCCGUCACUCUCCCCUGUCAAAAUGCAAUUAUUAUACCUAAUGCAAAAGCACUGACAAGGGGAGGCAAGUCGUAACAUGGUAAGUGUACCGGAAGGUGCACUUGGAUAAACCCAGGGUAUGGCUGAG